AAACCACAGAGAACUAUUUGUCAUGUUUCCUGUUCUUAGAAUUGAAGCGCUUGGUGUCACAGUUUUUGAGUAUUAGGCCGGCGACACACUGGAUGCGCGGUGCAAGCGUCUCAGCUGCGUGGCUGUUUUUAAUUUGGCUCAACAGGUUAGAGCCGCGCGGACAACGUGUGCAUGCAAGAGAGUUUGUUGUCAUGUGCAUCCUCUCCACCUAUAAAAUCCCCCUGAAGCUCAGACGGCACAACAUCAGCAGAGAUCUGUCGUGAUGAAUGUUUCUUCUCUUCAGCUCAACACAAGACGGAAAUUGAGUAAACACGUGGAGACUGAAAAGAGAUGAAGACAAAAAGCAGUGGAAACAUGGAGAUUGUGAAGAUCAUCAGAUGGAGCAGCUUCAGUGAUAUAAGACCAGACUUCUCUGAUCCACACACACAUGUGAAGAGCUGCUCUCAUCAAACACAGAAGAUCAGACAUGAUGAUGCAAGAACAUUAAAGUCUCUUCUGGACUCUCCAGCUCCUGCAGCAUUCUUCUCUUUAUUAUUUUAUGAAGCAUAUAUUGUACUUGUUUUCUGCAAUUCAGUAUAUAUAUUGCACUGCAUUGCAUUCAAGGAAAGUUUAACACUUCUGAACACUUUUCAAAUAAAUAUGAAUAAAGUCCUUGUGUUUUCUUUCUCUCUCUCUAAGAUCAAAGUUCAGAUAUAAUAUAUGAAAAUGUGUUGUAUGACGUAUGAUCCCUCUCUCUCUCUCUCAAAUACAUAUUUAGCUGCUAGUGUGACAGUCAUCUCAUUGUCUCCAAGUAUAUAGAGUAGUUUCUCUGAGUCGUUUAGAGACAAGAAUGAAGGAUUCAAAGUUUUUCUCUUGUAGUGCUGUAUUUGGGACAGACCAGAAGGAAGUGUUUCUCAUCCUCUGUUUGAUUCAGCUCACAGUGUUUGCACAGGCGCUCUUCUCUCGGGAGAAAGGAUCUUUUAUGUCGACCAAUCUCUAUCUCCAAAUCAUGAUCACUGAGUCUAUAUUUGGAAAGGAUUUGUCUUUCUUUUAAUUGCUUGAGUGAUAAGUAGUUUGACAGGUUUGUGGUUCUGUUUAGGGCCGAAUAACACUGGAGUUUGGUUUGGAGCUCAAAUUCAUUUAUUAAUUAUUCAUCAUAAUUAUACUUCAGAUUUGUGUCAGUUUCUGAAUGUUGGGUUUGUGAUUGGAGUCAGACUCAGUUUGGGUGUCCUUCAUCAUGUCUGAAAUAUCAUAAUCUUAGUUUUGGGGAUGUUGACGUCUAAGGCCCAAUCCUGGCAGUAUUUAGUUAAAAUGUCGAGGUUGUUCUGAAGACCUUCUGGUGUUUUAGACAGAAUUAGUUAGUCGUCUGCAUACAGUAAGUAUUUGACCUCUGUGUGGUGUAAUUGUAGUCCUGGACUGUUCGACUGGUCCAGUUCAUUGAUAUAUAUGUAAAAUAAGGUCGGGCUGAGGCAGCAAAUUAAAAAUCAAAUUAAAAAGUUUGAGUAAUGCAAUUUGCAGUUCAGGAGAGCUGUUUUUAAGCAUCUCGUUCUUGUCAGGGCCACAGGAUUUCUGACAUUUGAGGGAUUUCAGAUUUUCACUAAGUUAGGGUUAGGGUUAUUGGAUAAUCUAGUGGAUUUUGGUUGUUUUUGAUGCAUGAUUCAAGAGCAUUCAACUUUUGGAGGACAUUUAAUUGGUUGGGGUUAUUCAGAGGGUCAGUUUGAGGUGUAUAGAGCUUCUCAAAGUAAUCCUUCCAGAUCUGACCAUCUUGUAUGGCUAACUCUUGUGGUUUUGUCUUGUUCAGACUGUUCCACAUGCUCCAGAACUGACCCUGAUCAAUUGAGUUUUCCAUCUUUUGAAGUGUGUUGUUAUAAUAGUCCAGUUUCUUCUGUCUCACUGUGUUUCUGUAUUGUUUCAGGAGUUCUGAGUGUUUAGAGCGUAACUCUAAGUUGACCGGAUCUUUAUGUUUUUGAUUUGAAAUGAAUCGUAGCUCUUGUCUUAUUGUUUUACAUUCAUGGUCAAACCACUUUUCAGAAGGUUUUUGUUUAGCUCUAUUUUUGUGUUUAUAUGUUGUUGUUUCAUUUAAAUUAGCAUUUUUUGCUAUAUUUUCAAAAAUGUCAUUAAUAUGUUUAAUUGCUAAAUUUAUUCCUUUCCAAUUAUUAUCAUAUGUUGAAUUGUCAAAUAGUGUAAUUGUCGCUCUGAGCGGUGUGUAAAUCAAAUACUCUACAGAAGACAAGAUGAUAUUAUCAUGCUGUGAGAAAAGAGAUCUGACUAACACAAGGGGAAAAUGAGAAUGAGAGAACUAGACAGUUGAGUUUGUGGUUCAGUGAAGUAUCAUGUUUACAGCAGAGAUUAUCACAUAUCCAUCUAUAUCAUAUCAGAAUUUAGAAGAGGUUUAUUUAAAUGAAAACUGUACAUUGAGUGAUAAAUACUAUAUUUUGAUCAGUGUCAAGAUACUAAAGAGAUGAUGCAUCUGAGAGUUUUGUGACCUCACUUUAAUUUAAAGCUCAUUUUAAUAUGUUUUUCUACAACAAUAACUAUAUCACUACCAUUCCAAUCAUGUGAUUAUUUGUGGUUAGUUGUUUACAGUAAGGCUGUAACUGACUAAUGAUUUGUUAAAUGUGUUUCAA